UCGUAACAAGGUCUCCGUUGGUGAACCAGCGGAGGGAUCAUUAUAGAGUUUUCUAAACUCCCAACCCAUGUGAACUUACCUUUUGUUGCCUCGGCAGAAGUUAUAGGUCUUCUUAUAGCUGCUGCCGGUGGACCAUUAAACUCUUGUUAUUUUAUGUAAUCUGAGCGUCUUAUUUUAAUAAGUCAAAACUUUCAACAACGGAUCUCUUGGUUCUGGCAUCGAUGAAGAACGCAGCGAAAUGCGAUAAGUAAUGUGAAUUGCAGAAUUCAGUGAAUCAUCGAAUCUUUGAACGCACAUUGCGCCCAUUAGUAUUCUAGUGGGCAUGCCUGUUCGAGCGUCAUUUCAACCCUUAAGCCUAGCUUAGUGUUGGGAAUCUACUUCUUUAUAGUUGUAGUUCCUGAAAUACAACGGCGGAUUUGUAGUAUCCUCUGAGCGUAGUAAUUUUUUUCUCGCUUUUGUUAGGUGCUAUAACUCCCAGCCGCUAAACCCCCAAUUUUUUGUGGUUGACCUCGGAUCAGGUAGGAAUACCCGCUGAACUUAAGCAUAUCAAUAA
rnacentral:misc_RNA from 1 species